AGCCUGCAUGAGCUCCUCAUCAAAGCCUUCUCAGGGAGAAAAGCAACUGUCAAGAUGCCUCCUACCAUCUCUCAUGCUCUCCAUCUGCCUCUGGUUGUGGAAAUGAGCACUGCAUUAAUGCCAACAGCUAGCACAGGUAUCUACAGGCCAGUUAGCCUGGCAUCAAUCUCAGGUAAUAUGGAUGCCAAGUUGGAAAAAUCCAAAUUUAAAGUGGCCACAGCCUGGAGCCAAGAAUAUUCCCCGAUAAGCAAAUGUAUGGGAGCCAUUGUGGGAGCAGGUGCAGCCAGCACUUUUUAACAUGUCCUUUCACUCUAUUACAUGGAUGGUACACCAAGGAAUGGAGGGAGUUGAGACCUGGAAGAAAACACAACAGAAUAAGUGGCUUGCUCUAUGAAAGAAGGUCAGAGAGUGCUUCACCUUGAGCUUCACUACAGGAAAUCCCAAAUUAUCAGGGGCUCCUUAACCAGAAAAGAAGCAAAAUAUUUCUUUCUGUUCAGUGCCACAUUGUGCUAAAUGUGUGAUCAAUUUGCUAAGGUUAGCAUGGUAUGUGAAUUAAUUAACGUUUGUAAAACAAUUAUAAAUGCUGAGAAUUAUUUAUGCAUCAGUUAAGAUGAUUUCCUGAAGACUAAGGACUGGCCAGUGGGGAUCUCAAAUCAAAUGGUCAUAUUGGACACCAAAAUGGAAACCAUUGUCUUCACAGGUUUUGUUGGUGUUUGUGAACUCUUUAGAUCAGUGACUGUUCCUUCCUAGAUGUUUGUGCAGCACCAGGCACAAUGUGCAAGUUGUCAGAAAAUAGUGUGCACACUUGCCAAUAAAAGGUAGUCUCCUUAAUUUUACUACCGCAAAGGUGGCAUUUAAAGACAAAUCGAUGUGCUUAAAUUAAGAGGUAUUGUGGCUUAUGCCUAUUACACCUGUAUUUCUGCUGCGGCUUGACAACAAUAACUGUAAAAAAUAAAGGAAGCGGAAGUCUGAGAAAAAAAUCAGGAAGUCAUUCUGGGCUGGGCUCUUGCUUUGGGCCAUUUUAAAGUUUUUAAUUUUAACC